AUUAUUUAAUUUUUGCUUUAGCUUAUUAUAUCCUUAUUUAACAUAUUUGAAAUUUUGCUUUAGUUUAUUCUAUCCUUAUUUAAUAUAUUUGAAAUCCAUUAAAGAUUUCCAUUAAAGAAGAUAAAGAGCUACUUUGUGUAAAAGUUUUUCGCAUUUUAAAUUCUACUAAAAUAAUUAAAAUAAAAAUAUAAGUUAGACAUACAUAUACAUAUAAUUCAAUUUAUUCAUAUAAUUAGUCUAUUCAUUGUAUUACAUUUGUAAAAAAUUCUUUAACUUCUAUGAUAAUUUUUGCUUCAAAUGUUUUAAUACAAUCAUGUGAUAUUUUAAAAAGUUAAGCUAUAAAAUGAGGAUCUUGACUAAAAAUUAAUUAUUUCUCAUUGUGUGUGUACUUUAUUUUAAGAAGUUCUUUUUGAAAUACAUAUAAAUAAAAAUAAAUGCUUCCCAGUGCAUAAUGCAUCUUCUCUGUCUGCGUUUUUGGGGUUCAGGUCUUAAAACAGCACGUACUGCUUCAUCAAACACUUGUUUUAGACCACGUUGUUUCCAACAAGUAUCAUUGGGGCAUCUGGGCAGUGAUGUUUUAUCUCUGGAUACCAUUUGCUGGUAACAUUUUCAAAAGAUGAAGGGCUUGUUACUGAGAAACAAAUUAGAAAAACAUCAGUCUGUGGAUAUGAAAGUGGACG